rnacentral:misc_RNA from 1 species
UCCUGGUUAACCCAGGCAGUCUUGUUAGAGUUCCCACCAUUACGUGUUGGCAACUAACAAUAAGGGUUGCGCUCGUUGCGGGACUUAACCCAACACCUCACGGCACGAGCUGACGACAGCCAUGCAGCACCUGUUCAGAGGCCCCGAAGGGAGGCGCUAUCUCUAGCGCUGUCCUCUGUAUGUCAAGUCUGGGUAAGGUUCUUCGCGUUGCAUCGAAUUAAACCACAUGCUCCACUGCUUGUGCGGGUCCCCGUCAAUUCUUUUGAGUUUCACCCUUGCGAGCGUACUCCCCAGGCGGUAUACUUAUCGCGUUAGCUUCGGCACAACCGGGGUUGAGUCCAGUUACACCAAGUAUACAUCGUUUACAGCAAGGACUAC